CACGCCCAAAUUCUGUACACACACGUCCUUCUUAAACGUUUGUUCCCACCCAAUGUGUGUCCCGAGCGGCGCGGUAGGGACACACACGUUGACUCACGUUUCCAAGUUUGCUUAAUAGCUUGGGCUUGUUUUUGAGCCCAUGAAAGAAAUUGAGUCCAUAUUCCAUUAUAUAAGCUAAGCAGCAAUUUAGGUUAAAGUGUCUUUUAAUUUUUGUUGAGAGAAAGGAAGCGGCGGCAGCCUAUGAUGUGGAGAAAUGCGUAUUUUCCAACUUGUUGUCUCCCCUUUUGUAGACUUAAUUAGGAGCAUCCAAUAAAUGUGCCGAUGGUCUGGACAUGAGAGGAGUUAGAGAGGAAAAGGAUUUUGUGACUUAACGAUUCUCCUCUGUUAUUGCUUUAUUUGGACAAACUUGGCAUGUAUUAUGAUAGGCACUAUGUGUCUAAUGUUCAGACUGUUUACUUCUUAAUGUUAUAUCGUUUAUAACCACAAAAAAAGAAAAAAAGAAAAAGGAAUAUAUCAACACCAUUGAUCAUGUAGAUCUCUUUUGGCACC